GACGAACGCUGGCGGCGUGCCUAAUACAUGCAAGUAGAACGCUGAAGGAGGAGCUUGCUUCUCUGGAUGAGUUGCGAACGGGUGAGUAACGCGUAGGUAACCUGCCUGGUAGCGGGGGAUAACUAUUGGAAACGAUAGCUAAUACCGCAUAAUAGUAGAUGUUGCAUGACAUUUGCUUAAAAGGUGCAAUUGCAUCACUACCAGAUGGACCUGCGUUGUAUUAGCUAGUUGGUGGGGUAACGGCUCACCAAGGCGACGAUACAUAGCCGACCUGAGAGGGUGAUCGGCCACACUGGGACUGAGACACGGCCCAGACUCCUACAGGAGGCAGCAGUAGGGAAUCUUCGGAAAUGGACGGAAGUCUGACCGAGCAACGCCGCGUGAGUGAAGAAGGUUGUCGGAUCGUAAAGCUAUGUUGUAAGAGAAGAACGAGUGUGAGAGUGGAAAGUUCACACUGUGACGGUAUCUUACCAGAAAGGGACGGAUAACUACGUG
rnacentral:rRNA from 1 species